rnacentral:misc_RNA from 1 species
GAAAUUUCCAUAGACGGAACCCUAAUGGAGCCAGAGAAACCACUUCUUUCAGCUUAAGAUCGAAUUCUGAAAGGGAAAUAUCAUCACAGUUUAACUUGCGCUGCCAAGUCAAAGAUGGAAGUUUUGCUGGGUCAACCGUGACCUCGCUAUCCUUACAACAUUCUCUUCCUCCUUUGUUAGAUCCAUUAAUCAACAUAUCUCCUGGAAAAGUAACUGAAUCAC